rnacentral:lncRNA from 1 species
UAUUUAUAACAAGAGCAGCUAAAAUCUAGUUCUUUUUAAAAAAAACUAAGUACAAUAUGGUCUUAUUAACUAUAGUAGCCAUGCUGCAUUACAUUAUGUCUCUACACUUACUCCUCCUACACAUCUGCUACUUCAGGAUCCCCUUAGAACAGUUCUCUCAACUACAGCAUAGUGGAGGUUCUUUUGCAGAGCAAGUAUGAGUCCAUCCUCCCACAUUUCUAGCUUCAUCCAUGUCUUUGACAGUAUAUAGAGAAAUAUAUAAAGGAUAUGUUAAUCAGUACAGAGUUCUAGCCAAGGACAGCCAGGUAGAUGAGCCCAAUUUGUUCUCUUCUGUACAGUUUUGCAUUUCUAUCUUUGUCUAUUUGUAUUUAUGUGUUUCAUUUUCAUGCUGUGUAUUUUGGCACUUUACUCUGUAUCCUGACUGCAUCCAACCUAAGAAGGAGACUACACAUGUAGCACAGGGAACAUAUUGUAAUCAUGACAUGACAAUGGCCAAUUCAGCAGCUACUUCUCUAAAAGGUGAAUCUCAGAAGCAAGCACAGAAACCUAAAAUAUGAAGAAUUCACUGGAAGACGAUGAGGCUUUCUAUGGGCAAAGCCAAUGUCUGCCUAGGAUAGAUGAUCUGGAGAUGUCUAUCUGUCUCAGUUCAGCCCCUUCAUCAGACUAAACGUAGCAAAAAAGGUCAGACUUAUAACUUGUAAAAAGUCACCUGUGGGUGAAAUAUUCUUUCCAUAUACCAUGAAUACUGGCCUUGGUGGUAUACACCUGAAAUCCUAUGACUAAAAGGAGCAAAGCAGUAGGAUUACAGCCUAGCCUGGGUUGCAUAAGAACCUGUCUAAAAAAUGGUUAAUAUGUAUUACUCUUACUUAUAUUUGCUGUUUUUUCUUUGGAAUAUCCCUGGAUCUCUGAACCCCAUUUGGCUCAACGUCAUGUCUUUAACUCAACCGAGCAACAUCUUUGGACACUUGAAUCUGGAUUUCCCUCAGGCUUGGAUUUUGGUGUCCACUAUGUAGACCUUCACACUGUAAUUACAGAAUGGCUUACAACCAAUAGGGGCUGGGCAGCCUAGCCCAAGCCACCAGCAUGCUGGAGGAGCUAAAAAUCUGGUAGCUGUUUGGUCCAUAAAGCUGGAUGUCCUGAAAGUACCAAUCUUAUUCUGAAAGCCUGGAAGAGUAUACCCAAGAUAUAAGAUACAAUUUGCCAAAUGCAUGAAACUCUAGAAGAAUGAAGACCAAAGUGUGG